rnacentral:rRNA from 1 species
CAGUCGCCGCGGGAAUACGUAGGUGGCAAGCGUUGUCCGGAAUUAUUGGGCGUAAAGCGCGCGCAGGUGGUUUAAUAAGUCUGAUGUGAAAGCCCACGGCUCAACCGUGGAGGGUCAUUGGAAACUGUUAAACUUGAGUGCAGGAGAGAAAAGUGGAAUUCCUAGUGUAGCGGUGAAAUGCGUAGAGAUUAGGAGGAACACCAGUGGCGAAGGCGGCUUUUUGGCCUGUAACUGACACUGAGGCGCGAAAGCGUGGGGAGCAAACAGGAUUAGAGACCCCUGUAGUCCCUGUCUCUUAUAC